AAACAACACCACUACGAACAAGUCCUGCACCAGAGACAACUCCAGAACCCACCAUUCCAACACCGGAACCAACCACCGAUGCUGCUCCAUCUAUGGCAUCCAUUUUUCCAAUAUGGCCGACGUCCCUGCCACAGAUCCAUACAUGAUUGGUGCUUAACAGUCACUUGCUAGAGCUUGAAGAUAAGUCUAAAAUGAAGGCAAAUAAAAGUUGAAGAUAACAAAGUGUCUCUUCAGACAAGACUCAGUGGUUUAAUCAGUGCAGAAGUCCUGGAUCCAUACUUCAUGCUGAAGUCUACUAUUUUGGCCAUGCAGACAUUUGACUGAUAAGGUUGUAACUGAUAACGCAGAGAUAACAGUAUCCUGAGUUUUUGGCCAAGGUUUACUAUUUUAACUUUUCCCAUCACACCCCAUUCAUAACAUCAGGUAAGAGAUAUCAGUGAUGCAUCACACAAAGGUAUAUACUUGGACUUCAGAAAACAAUGGAUCUUCACAAUUACAGAGCAAGAUACUAUUAUUCCAAAAUUAGUACUCCUCUCCUCUCCAAUAAUGGAAGUCCUGUAUUUUUAGCAUUCCUCAAUGCAGAAUUCAUAAAGGCAAAGAAAACAUGAUGUCACAUACAAAAACACAUGAAAUGAUAAGUCACGUGUUAAAAGAAAACCAUUUCUUUUAAAUGGUUUCAGAAAACUCCAAGUUAAGCAGCAUAGACAAAAUGGCCAUCAUUAGUCCCACCCAGAAUUUUUUUCAUAUCCCUGAAUCUUUACCAAUUAAUAGUCCUAAAUCACUUGACAAGUUGACAUUUUAGGACUACAAAUCAACAGGAGCAAACACGAGUCUGUGUAAAGUAGAAGGUAAAUCAAGGCUUUGGAAUGCAAAAGGCUUUCACUGUUUUAGAGGGACACAAUCUUGGAGUUGAUCAUUCACAUGACAGAAAAAUUCCUAGGCAUUGGGCUCAAUAGUACCUCGUUCUUAGUGAAAGGUAGAUCAAUUCUAAAUACUUAAUAGAGAGAGAAAGAGAGUGAGACAAACCUACAUACUAUUAACUUUGUUUUCCAUUUGAGCUUUCACAAAUGUAAACAUUGGUGAACUUAAUGGUAAAAAUGGUUAGUGUUAGAAGUGGGUUUUAAGCCUAACUUAACCCUACAAAACCGGCUUGUAAGGUGGGAUUUGCACCUCACUUAUAUAUUAUGAAUUGGCCUUAUCUCUAGUCGAUGUGGGACUCCCAACACACUCCCUCACGCCGACGUAUAUUCAUCUCAUGUGUGGGACAAGAAAUUAGUGGGUGGUUCGUUAACGGCCCGAUAUCGGGUGGAACAAAAUGUCCAAGAAAUUUCGCUAGGAUAGACUCUAACCUGGCUCUAAUACCAUGUUAGAAGUGGGCUUUAAGCCUAACUUAAUAUACCUCAACGUGAGAGGGUGUGUUCAC